GUCCGGGACUGAGCUGUUUCGAGAAGAGUGGAGACUGCUGUAUUGGGGCUUUCGGGCUCUGGUAUGAUGGAAACCAUUUUAAUCGCAAUGGCUUGAACCGGGCAAAAGUCGUAACAAGGUAUCUGUAGGUGAACCUGCAGAUGGAUCAUCG
rfam:Heterorhabditis bacteriophora unplaced genomic scaffold Scaffold329, whole genome shotgun sequence.